rnacentral:rRNA from 1 species
GACGAACGCUGGCGGCGCGCUUAACACAUGCAAGUCGAGCGAAGCGGCGGACGGGUGAGUAACACGUGAGUAACCUGCCUUAGACAUUGGGAUAGCCUCGGGAAACCGGGAUUAAUACCAAAUGGUCUAAGAUGGACUCGCGUCCCAUUAGCAAGUUGGUGCGGUAACGGCCCACCAAGGCGACGAUGGGUAGCCGGCCUGAGAAGGUGAGCGGCCACGAUGGAACUGAGAAACGGUCCAAACUCUACGGGAGGGAGCAGGGGGGAAUAGUGCACAAUGGAGGGAACUCUGAUGCAGCGACGCCGGGUGAACGAGGAAGGCUUUCGAGUCGUAAAGUUCUUUUAUAUGGGAAGCGGUACCAUAAGAAAAAGCCCCGGCUAACUACGUGCCAGCAGCCGCGGUAAUAC